AUAUCAAUAAGCGGAGGAAAAGAAACCAACAGGGAUUGCCUCAGUAACGGCGGGUGAAGCGGCAAGAGCUCAAAUUUGAAAUCUGGCCCCUUGGGGGUCCGAGUUGUAAUUUGGAGAGGAUGCUUCGGGUGUGGCCCCCGUCUAAGUGCCCUGGAACGGGCCGUCAUAGAGGGUGAGAAUCCCGUCUGGGAUGGGUGGUGCCGCCCGUGUGAAGCUCCUUCGAAGAGUCGAGUUGUUUGGGAAUGCAGCUCUAAGAGGGUGGUAAAUUUCUUCUAAAGCUAAAUACCGGCCAGAGACCGAUAGCGCACAAGUA
rnacentral:rRNA from 1 species